CACGUAGGGUGCGAGCGUUGUCCGGAGUUAUUGGGCGUAAAGAGCUCGUAGGCGGUGUGUCGCGUCGGCCGUGAAAACCUGCAGCUUAACUGUGGGCGUGCGGUCGAUACGGGCAUGACUGGAGUUCGGCAGGGGAGACUGGAAUUCCUGGUGUAGCGGUGAAAUGCGCAGAUAUCAGGAGGAACACCGGUGGCGAAGGCGGGUCUCUGGGCCGAUACUGACGCUGAGGAGCGAAAGCGUGGGGAGCGAACAGG
rnacentral:rRNA from 1 species